GCCAGGGAGUGGUGGGGCCAUGUGGAGUUUGUUACGGAGGGCGGAGUGGGGUAGUGUUCGUUGUCGUGACUUGCCAGAGAAUUCGAGCCUGACGGUUGAAGCUCGGCUGUGACAUCUGAUGGAGCGAAAUGGCUCUCUAUCUAAGCAAUCUAAGAGAAGCUCGGAUGUUUUCGAGGUUGCUGAUGAGUCCACUAUCGUCGGGUGCCUUGGGCACUGAUGCUGCAGGCGAAAGUCAUCUGCUGUAGAAGCUCAGAUGGAGACUUUCUGUUGGAGAUGUCUGGCAAAAGUUUGAUUGCUAGAGAAGUCCAUCUGGAAUUUGUCUGAUGUAGAAGCUUGUCUGAAGAUUGUCUGCUGGAGAGGUCCAGUUUCAUGAAGAAUCCAGCAGAAGGUCGAUCGAUAGU
rnacentral:lncRNA from 1 species